GAUCUGAGAGGCGGCGGCAAAGCACAGCCAACUCCGAGUGUCAGGCGCAGGUGAGGGGCCGGUAGGGACACCGGCCCUGCCUCCUGAGCACCGGGCACGAGCCGACCCAACCUGAGGGGCAUGCCUGCUGGAAUCUCAGCUUCCCUCCGCAGCCCCCAGGCCAGAACAGCCAACGUCAAAAGACAAACUCGCAAAUUGCGGCGGAGCGUUCUCCCCGGGGCGCCCGGCAUCCAGGGGGCGGGGCUUGCGCUGUGACGCCGCCCUUCGCCUCGCCCCGCCCCGCGCGCGUUGCCAGGGUGAUCAGGUGACUAGGGGCAAGCGGCGCUCCGGGCGGCCGUGACGUCAGACGAGCGGCCGCUCUUCACCAGCCAGCGGCAGGUGCGGCGCGUCCGGUGCAGUUUCGAGCGUCUCCUCAGGUACACCGCCAGCUGGAAGAGAGGAGUGUACGUGGUGGAAGACCAAAGAAGAGACGACCUGGGCCCGUCCACCUGCCUCACAGCCUGCUGGACUGCUCUCUGUUGCUGCUGCCUCUGGGACAUGCUCACCUGAUUGGCCUGGCCUCCUGUCACGCCAGCUCUGCUGUCACCUCCGAUCGGUGCAUCUGCCCAUCUCUGACUGCUCUGAUAAGUGACUAGUUCUGCAGACACCUACCUUCAACACUAGGGGAUUCUAGAUUAGCAAGGGUUGCUGCUGUUUAAUUCAGUGACUUGAUCUUUUUAAUGUUCAAUCCAUUUCUUACUGAUGCCUAACAAAUGUGCUAAAUGAUGUUCCUUUGUUUUGUUUUUGGCCAAAGGCUUAAUUAUGAAAUAAAUAUUUAUAAUUUUUAAACUAUACAUUUAAGGUAACUACAAGAUUAAAACAUACCACUGAAUGAUUUCUCUGAUAACACCCUGUAUGUUUCAAUAAAUUUGUCCAAACUUCA